GACGAACGCUGGCGGCGCGCUUAACACAUGCAAGUCGAGCGGGAACCUGGCCUUCGGGCCUGGGGAAAGCGGCGAACGGGUGAGUAACACGUGGGUAACCCACCCUUGGUACUGGGAUAGCCCGGGGAAACCCGGAUUAAUACCGGAUGGCCCAGCAGCGCUUCGGGGCGGUUGGAAAAGGUAGCUUCGGCCUCCGACCAAGGACGGGCCCGCGGCGGAUUAGCUUGUUGGUGGGGUAACGGCCUACCAAGGCGACGAUCCGUAGCUGGUCUGAGAGGACGAUCAGCCACACUGGGACUGAGACACGGCCCAGACUCCUACGGGAGGCAGCAGUGGGGAAUCUUGCGCAAUGGGCGAAAGCCUGACGCAGCGACGCCGCGUGGGGGAAGAAGGCUUUCGGGUUGUAAACCCCUUUCAGGAAGGACGAAGCCACUCGGGUGAAUAGCCCAGAGGGUGACGGUACUUCCAGAAGAAGCCCCGGCUAACUACGUGCCAGCCGCCGCGGUAACAC
rnacentral:rRNA from 1 species